AGGACGAACGCUGGCGGCGCGCUUAACACAUGCAAGUCGAGCGAGAACCGGUCCUUCGGGACCGGGGAAAGCGGCGAACGGGUGAGUAACACGUGGGUAAUCAACCCUCGGUACCGGGAUAGCCCGAGGAAACUCGGAUUAAUACCGGAUGGCCCAACAGCCUUUCGGGGCGGUUGGAAAAGGUAGCUUCGGCCUCCGACCGAGGACGAGCCCGCGGCGGAUUAGCUUGUUGGUGGGGUAACGGCCCACCAAGGCGACGAUCCGUAGCUGGUCUGAGAGGACGAUCAGCCACACUGGGACUGAGACACGGCCCAGACUCCUACGGGAGGCAGCAGUGGGGAAUCUUGCACAAUGGGCGAAAGCCUGAUGCAGCGACGCCGCGUGAGGGAAGAAGGCUUUCGGGUUGUAAACCUCUUUCAGGAGGGACGAAGCUACUCGGGUUAAUAGCCCAGAGGGUGACGGUACCUCCAGAAGAAGCCCCGGCUAACUACGCGCCAGCAGCCGC
rnacentral:rRNA from 1 species